rnacentral:rRNA from 1 species
UUUCUAGAGAGUUUGAUCCUAGCUCAGGACGAACGCUUGCGGCGUGGAUAAGGCAUGCAAGUCGAACGGUUCCACUUUUGUGGAAUAGUGGCGAACGGGUUAGUAACACGUAGAUACCUACCUAUUACACGGGCAUAACUCCGCGAAAGCGGAGCUAAUUCCCGAUAGUCCUAAUAUCUUACCGGAUAUUAGGUAAAGUUCUGCUUUUGCAGUUCGGUAAUAGACGGGUCUGCGGCUUAUCAGCUUGUUGGCGAGGUAAUGGCUCACCAAGGCUAUGACGAGUAGGGGACAUGAGAGUGUGUUCCCCAACAAGGGCACUGCGACACGGGCCCUACUCCUACGGGAGGCAGCAGUCGAGAAUAUUUCGCAAUGGGCGAAAGCCUGACGAAGCGACGCCGCGUGCUUGAAGAAGCCCUUCGGGGUGUAAAGAGCUUUUCUCCGGGAAGAACCCGCUUUCGGGCGGGUGACGGUACCGGAGGAAUAAGAGGAUGCUAAUCACGUGCCAGCAGCCGCGGUAAUACGUGAUCCUCAAGCGUUGUCCGGAUUUAUUGGGCGUAAAGCGUUCGUAGGCGGAAAGAUAAGUUUUUGGUUAAAGGCCUUGGCUCAACCAAGGAAAUGCCAAGAAUACUGUCUUUCUAGAGGGCAUUAGGGGCUGAUGGAACGGUCGGUGUAGGGGUGAAAUCCGUUGAUAUCGACCGGAACACCAAAAGCGAAGGCAUUCAGCUGGGGUGACCCUGACGCUGAGGAACGAAAGCGUGGGGAGCAAAAAGGAUUAGAUACCCUUGUAGUCCACGCUGUAAAUGAUGGACACUAGCUACUUGAAGUGUCGACCCUUCAAGCGGCGAAGCUAACGCGUUAAGUGUCCCGCCUGGGAAGUACGGCCGCAAGGCUAAAACUCAAAGGAAUAGACGGGGCUUCACACAAGCGGUGGAUCAUGUGGCUUAAUUCGACGAUAAGCGAAGAACCUCACCAGGGCUUGACAUUCCGUCGAAAUCCCGCAGAAACGUGGGACUUCUCACAAGGACGGCGGAACAGGUGCUGCAUGGUUGUCGUCAGCAUGUGCCUUGAGGUGCACCCUUAAAUGGGGUAACAUGCGCAACCCUCAUCCUACGUUUUAAGUGUCGUGGGAAACUGCCUGAGACAAUCAGGAGGAAGGCGGGGAUGACGCCAAAUCAGCAUGGCCCUUUGACGCCCUGGGCUGCACACAUGAUACAAUGGGGUUGACAAUGGGCGAAGCCGUAAGGCGGAGGUAAUCCCAUCAAACAACCCCCCAGUUCGGAUUGAGGUCUGCAACUCGACCUCAUGAAGCCGGAAUCGCUAGUAAUCGCCAAUCAGCCAUGUGGCGAUGAAUACGUUCCUGAAGCUUGUACUCACCGCCCGUCACGUCAAGCGAGCUGGGAAUGCCCGAAGUCCCUGCAUUAGCAGGGCCCAAGGCAGGCUCAGUGAGAGGGACGAAGUCGUAACAAGGCACCGGUAGGAGAACCUGUCGGUAGAUCA